rnacentral:lncRNA from 1 species
UUUUUUUUUUUUUUUGGUCUUUAGAGAGAUUUUUUCACAGAAAAAGAAAAAGAAAAACUUUUCUUUUAAUAGUAUCAUGCUCUUUGAAAGUUUUAAACUUCAAAACACAGCUCCCUCGUUUUUUCAUUUUCUUAUUUAUUGGGUUAAAUCAGGUCAACCCAUUUGGGUGCCUAAUCCUAACUCCAACCGUUAUCAUAAAUAAGUGUUUCAAUUAUUCAUUUAUCAUUAAUUUACUUUUCUAACGAAUGAUAAAACUUCUUUAAACUUUCAAUAACCUGACUAAAAUGGCAUCGGACAACUUACAUUUAAUCUAUAUCAUGGAACGGUUUCGUACAAAAAUUACUUGGCAUUAAUGCUUAAUCACAUUGGAGGGCUAACCUAUUUUGUUUGAUACAUUGGACACACUUCAAUUAUUUAUACAGGCAAAUAAAACAAAAUUGUUCAUAAUUUUAUUCCUACUUGCAAAAAUGAGACAACCAAGUAGCCCUUAAAAUACUAACAAGCAUAAUUUGUAGAUUCUUAAGAAUGUAGGAGGCAUACUGAAUAUUGAAUACAUCUUUCAUAUUUUCAAUCAAUUGACUACCUUGUCUUAUAUCCAUAUCUCACAUUCAUAGGGUGGAUUAGAUUUAGUCCACUGAAAAUGAUGAUCACAAAAGUUUAUUAAAACAAAUGUGAGAUUGUGAUGUGAUUGAUACAAUUAUUUUUAUUAAAAAAAAGGGUCAAUUGUAUGAUUCAAAACAUCCAUACAUAUAUUUAAUUAAUUAAUUAUUAUUAUUUAUAAUUCAUGACCUCGAUUUUCCACUAAAGGAGUGGGUGGAAUUCUUGACAACCACUAAAAUAUGUGGGCAAGUUGUACUUUUUAUAUUUAUUUAUUAUUGUUAUUCAUUUUGUCAAUCCUUGAAUUGAUUAAGUCUAUGUUAUGGGAAAGUGCCAAUUUCUCUCUCCACGUGCAUAGCAUAUGACUAAUUUAUUAAAUUAGUGAAGCUUGAGAUCAACCUGCAGCUGCAUAAGGUAGGGAGAUUACAACUUUUGGUUCGAGGAAAUCAAGGAAACCUUUGAAGGAUUGAUAGAAAAGGGUUUGGUAUUAAUCAUUUGUGUAGCUUCUAUGCUUGAUGCUACUACUCCUAUUCAACCAUUAAUAUAUGGUUUUAAUUUUUUGUACUUAAAAUAGUAUUAAUUUGAGAAUGAAAGCUACUUUAUUGGUAUAAUUUGUAAGGAUUUGCGAUUAAUUUAAACAUAGCCGCUCGUAACCCACCAUAGAACCCUUUUUUAUUUUUUUUUCAAAUUCUUUAUUUGUGAAACUAUUUCAUUGAAAACAAGUUUUAUAAAAUUCAAUAUGGUUUUUGGGAUUUCUCAUCUGAUCGCUCCCGUUAAGCCAAGUUUGAGUAGGUGAUUAUGUUAUUAGAAUUCUUAGGUUUAGGACCGACAAGAGAUCCUCGUGAGUCAAGCUAAAAGCGGUAAGAUGUUAUUUAAAUUGACUUUUGAGAAUUAAAAAUUAUUUUUUAAAUUUAAUAAGAAUUUUUAUGUUUAUUUUGUUAUUUUUAUUUAAAACACUUAGUAGAAACUUAAUUUUAGGUUAUAAAAAAAGCCCUUCUAUAUUUGAUAAAAUCUUUAUAAUACCAAUACCAAAAUUUCAAAAUUAUCUUUUACCUUGUGAUGAAAGCCCAAAAAAAAAAAAGGAGUAAUGCCAUGUGAGGCAUAAGAGGCCUUAGCCCACACCCCACCAUUUACAAAGACAACAAAACCUUGGACCUGGGCCUCGGAGCACAGGCCCAAUGGGAGAAGAAUGGGUGGUCCUCUAUGAAUUUGUACGUUACAAUACUUCAUAUAUGGACUUGAAUGAUGUUCUUAAUUGCUGGAUUUUUUUAAAGAUAAAUGGGAUGGGAUAGUCUCAACAUCAUCAACUUCAAAUCAAUAUUUGUUGAUUCAUUUUCCUUUUUCAGCCUCUUGAAUCCCCAUGCACGUAACGGAUGUUGCUCUCACGAUUUCUCACUAUAUAUACAAACCACAGCAUACAUGCUUCCGCACUCGAUCGACAUGGCUCUGAUGCUGAAGCUCUUUCUUUUCACUCUUCUCUCUGCAUGGAGCCUGGGAUCCAUGGCUUCCGCACGGUACCUGGACAAGAGCUUCAGCCUUGCUGCUCGAUUACAUGCGGACGACGACUCAUCAUCCAAGUGCUGGGAGUCUUUGCUUGAGCUUCAGGCAUGCACUGGAGAGGUUGUCCUGUUCUUCCUCAAUGGUGAGACUCACCUUGGGGCCGGCUGUUGCCAAGCCAUUCAGACCAUUGAGCACCAAUGCUGGCCUGCCAUGCUUACUUCCAUUGGUUUCACUGCCGAGGAGGGCGACAUCCUCCAAGGUUACUGUGAUGCAACCACAUCCUCUUCGGCUCCCCCACCACCACCACCACCACCAUCCAUGGAGCCUAAUGACGUGGUUACCUUGGGUGGCUUUUUCCUCGAUCCUUAGUAGAACGCGUUCUUACUAGCAGUUAUGUCUUUUACAUAUAUCUGAUCCGCUAGUCUAAAUAUAUACAGAAAAGGGUGUUUGGAAUUAAUGAAUGAUUUCCUAUAUAUUGCCCCAUAUUUGUUGCAAUUAAAUUCCAUUUCUUGCUUGAAAAAAAGGUAUAAUAAUUUCCCAUCAUUGAUAGCACUAGUAGUUGUCUUUUAUGGGCUGGACGAGACACACAGAUCGACCCACAAUUCUGCUUACCCAGCCCAUGCUCAGUGGUUUGGACUAACAUAAUUGGAGGCCCAAAAGGGAUAUCAAUAAUAAGAUAAUGUUUGGAAGAUGAGUCUAUUUUUGUAUCUAGAUAAGACCAACUCAUCCCCCUCUAAUUAAUGGAGAGGUAACGGCGUGAAGGGCAAGAUUCUCAAGGACUCAAAAGCCUUUUUGCUUUGAUUUUCCAUCAAGGCAUCAGUGCCAUACACAUAAGUCCAUAAGGUAAUGAAUAAGGAGCGUCAAAUCAGGGUGGGAUGCGAAUAUGCGGAUUGAAAGCCAAGUAUUGAUUUUAGUGGUAUGAGGUGGGUCGUGUAUGGAUGGUGACAUCUAACUAUAAGUCUCUCAAAAGACUUCAAACUUCCCCCCAUCUCCGCCUUCUUUCAUGCUCUUUCCACUCUUCUUUUAACGUAGUAAUUUUUUUUCCCUUUGGGUAAUUAGGAUCUAAGCAUGGAAGAAGAGAAUAUUCGGAUGAGUGUUUCAAGAGUUCUUGGCUUUCUACACAUUGUUACUUCAUUUUCAAGCUGAGGAAUCAAUUGGUCAUUUGUUAUGUGCUUGUUUGUGAUCAUUGGGAAGCAGAUUUAGGGUUUUGAAAGGUCAAAUGCUAAUCAACAGAAGAAGAAAUUUACACCCCAUGCCAACAUAAAGAGAUAAUUGUGGUUAGGAUAGAUUUCAUAUAAUUAACUUCAACUAACUUCUCAUGACCUGCCAUUCCUAGUCAUCAUUCAGUUAGUUAUUUCCUUGCUAUGCCCAUGAUCGAUGCAUCGACCGUUUGCCACUUGUUUUCAUCCAAAAACCUGUCAUUUUCUCUCCGAUCUCGAUCCACUAGAAUGGAUCAAACUGGAUUCUUUCUUCCUCUGGAAUAAUGUAAAGCUAGACUAAAAUUUUAUACAUUCCUCUAUUGGUUGAUGGUUUAUUAAUGGUGAGAUAUCUUGUACAAAUUGAAUCAUCAAGGUCAUUGGAGUGGUGUCCUUGUUGACUAAUUAAUGGGUCCAUGUUUCAUGAUCAUAAGGCCAUCUUGCAUGAUUCAAAUAUACCCUAUUGAAAUGGUAUACAUACACAUGCACAUUGUUCAAAAACGCCCUAGAAAAAGGAAAGGAGGAUAAAAAGAAAUACAAGUCGUCCACUAGUGCCAUAUGUGGAAAAGUAGUGAGCAUACAGAUCUCAACUCCCCUAGAGAAAAUUGUCCUCGUAUGGAACCUCAACAAUGAAUUCUAGAGAAAGCUGUCAAGUGAUCACAGUCCAGAUGAAUCUUGAUUUAGAAGUUAGAAAAAUGAAGGGUUGUUAGGUUAGGGUAGUUAGUCAAUGGCACAAAGAUGUUAUCUUAAAAGUUGUGGAGGAGAGGAGAGGAGAGGAGAGAGUCAGAAAAAAGAAUGAACCUAUCAGAAGAAAGUAAGAAACAUCAAACUAUAAUCUUAUUAACAUGGAACGAUAAUCAUGAUAAAGCCACACAACAAGGGUUUCACAAGGACACACAGAGAGACCCAGGAAACAAGACACAAACUCAUCCAACAUAGCUCAGACAUAGAAAUUAUUUAGCAUAGUUGCUCACUGGCAAUUGUAAAUCUAAUUACACAACAAGCACACAUGCAUGCGUCUAGAAAAGAUGGUGAUGCUUCUUUCCAUGAGCCUCUUCAUCUUCUUCCUUGGCUUCUUUCUUCUCGUGAUGCUCGUGGAACGCGAACCCGCCAGCUCCCACUGCAGCAGCCGCGGCAAUCUCUUCUUCUAUCUUGUGCUUGUGGGCAUGCUCAGGGUCUUUCUCCGACUUGUGCUUCUCAUGCUAUAAUUCAAGCAUCAUCAAGACGAUAAGAAAUAGUUCCUUUGUAUAAAAUUAAUUAAAACAAAAAUAUUUUCAAACUUCAUGACACACGGGGCAUUACCAAGGCGUAAGCGCCAGCAGCAGCGACGCCGAGCUCGCCGAGGUGCUCGAGAUGCUUGUGGUGCUUCUCCUCCUUCCUGUAGUCAGGGCCUGGGUCAUCUGCUAACACUUCGGUGGUUUCGGCAGCGUAGCCGCUGACACCAUCGGUAGCAUAGCUGGUGUCGGAGUAGGUGGUGUCGGAGUAGGGAACGGCGUCGUCAACAGGCUUGUCCUUGUGGUGGAAGAGGUGGUGGUGAUGCUUCUCCUCCGACAUGGUGGUGGUGAUCAAAUUAGCUGCAGAAACGAGAGAGGAAGAUGGUUUGUGAACUGUGAAGGUGUGAUGUGGGAGAGUGCAGUGGUGGGUGGUGGGGUAUUUAUAAAUGCUGGUUGCGAAG